UGUGUGGACUCAAAACUACAACUGUCUGUUUUUGUCUGUUUAAUUUUCAGAGCAGGAAGUGGAUGAGGAGAGUUUCCUUUUGCUGGAUGAUGCUGCCAUGCAGCAUCUUAUUCCAAAAAUUGGUCAACGUCUCAAAUUUCAAAAACAUCACAAGGAGCUUGUGAGUAAAGUGCUUUUGUUUUUGUAAGUUUGGUAAAGAUUAAAGGUAAGUUCUCUAAUGUCAUUCACAUGCUUUCGCUGCAGACAGGCAAUCCCUGGUCAUGCAAAAGGACUGUUUGUUCAUUUAAGGGCAGUUCAUGGUGUUAAUACCGCUUCGUCCUUUUUUCAAUGCUGCGAAGAUGGCUGCAGACGGACAUUCAGAUAUAUUCGGUCAUUCAGACGACAUCUUCUUCAACAUUCUGUCCAAGAAAGUGCCCAAAGUACUGGACAGCAUUUAAUUGGUACCACAACAAUGUCUGUACAGUGUUUCUCAGGUCCCAUUGAUAGAGAGUUAGCAAAUGCAGACACAUCUGAGGCUCCUACACAACAGGGCAGAAACGAAGAUGAUUUCUGGGACGAGUUGCAGCCAGAGACUGUAACACAGCGGGUAGCUCUGUUUUUAGCAGCUCUUAAGGCCAAGGCAGCACAGACAUAUAGUACAGUCAAUUUUGUUGUUGCACAGACAUCCUGCUUGAUUUCAGACAUUGUGGGUUCACUUCAGAGAAAGUCUUUGUCUCUCUUUGCGAAAUUCGGCCAUCGGGAUGACCCAGAGGUGCAAGAACUUGCCCGUGAUUUUGAUAAGGCAGUGUGCCCCUUUAAAGGUUUGGAUUCAGACUUCAAACAAAUGCAGUAUUUUGCAAAGUCAGGAUACUUUAUCCAGCCUGUAGAGCAGGCUCUGCCUGGAGUCUCAUAUGUGCAGAGAAGGGACUCUGCUACUGGGACACUUAGACAGGUUGCUGUUCAGGAUGUGUUUUUUCGUGUCCCACUGAAAACUCUGCUAACUCAACUGCUUGAGAUCCCUGGCAUUUUGGAGGCCAUCUUCACCUGGCAGAAAAGAGAAAAUGGAGUACUCAUAGACUUCUAUGAUGGGAAGUAUUGCAAGCAGCAUUGUCUCUUUUCCAGCAAUGUGUCUGUUCCACUUCUUUUGUACAACGAUGACUGUGAAAUAGUUAACCCACUAGGCUCAAAGGUUGUGGUACACAAGUUGGGGUUCCUUUACUUCACUAUCAAGAGUCUGCCUCCAGAGUUUCUAUCAAAACUCUCAUCACACUUUCUCAUAGCAGUUUACAGAACAGAUGAUGCAAAAACCUAUGGGAUUGAUAGUGUUCUACAGUCAAUUGUAGAGGAGCUGAAAGAUCUUGAGAUCACUGGCAUCUCCCUCAACACACCUCUUUUCAAGGGUGAAAUGAGGUUUUCUGUUGCACAGGUGUGUGGGGACAAUCUUGGCCUAAAUGCCAUUCUAGGUUUUACUGAGAGCUUCUCAAGUAAUUUCUUCUGUCGCAUGUGCAAGGCACACAAGAACAUCACAAGGACACAGACAAAAGAGGAUCUUGCCAUGAUAAGAAAUGAAACAAACCAUGCUGAAGAUGUUUGUCAUGGUAAUGUGUCUGAGACUGGUGUUAAAAGAGACAGCAUCCUAAACAGUCUGUCCUACUUUCAUGUCACAGACAACAAAGUUGCAGACAUAAUGCAUGGCUUGUUGGAAGGGGUGGGGCCAUAUGAGUUGAAGCUGGUAAUCUCUUCACUGAUUGAGGACAAACACUUGACCCUUGAAAAACUCAACUUCCGGAUCACAAGUUUUGAUUAUGGCUUUCCUGAUCUGAAGAAUAAGCCAUCCUUGAUUGGGAAGAAUGAACUUAAAAAUCCCGAAGGAGCAAUGCAUCAGUCUGCAGCGCAAACAUGGUGUCUCCUCAGAUGGUUGCCAUGUAUGAUUGGGGACCUCAUUCCUGAAGAAAACAAGCACUGGGAGCUCUUGCUUCUCCUUCUGGAAUGUAUGGAGUUGAUUUUCUCUUCUUCCAUUACACCAGAGGCUGUAGUUUACUUGGCUGCACUGAUUGAUGAGCAUCACUCUCUGUUCCUUGAGCUGUACCCCAGAUUGCAUCUUCGCCCGAAGCACCACCUCAUGGUGCACUAUCCAAAUGCAAUCCUACACUUGGGACCACUUGUUCAGUUCUGGUCGAUGCGAUUUGAAGCCAAACAUGGUUUCUUUAAACGCAUCAGCCAUGUCACCUGUAACUUUAAGAAUAUUUGUAAGACUAUGGCAUUUCGGCAUCAGAUGAUGCUAUGCUACUCACUCCUCUCUGGUUCUGUGUUUAAAAAUGAAACAGAGGUUGGUCCAGGCCAGAGUGUUUUGCUUGCCGUAAUGGAUGGCUUUUGUGAUGUACAAAAUGGUCUUGAGGAUAUUCCACCCUUUACAGAGAUCUUUGUGCCAGCUUGGGUAAAAGUAAAUGGUACACACUACAAACCUGGAACCACAGUAUUUCUGUCUUACACUGCUGAUGGCGAGCCCCAGUUUGGUAGAGUGAAAAGCCUUCUCAUGUUGGGUGACAGAGUGAAGCUUGUCAUCCAAAAAUGGGAUACAGUAGGAUUUGAGAAGCAUUUCUUUGCCUACGGUGUAACAGCAACCACUGAUGUGUUUGCUGUUGAUCAAGGUUCCCUCCUUGACUAUCACACUCUCCAUGCAGUGAAGUCCUUCA
ensembl:lncRNA